AUUGAACGCUGGCGGCAUGCCUUACACAUGCAAGUCGAACGGCAGCACGGGAGCAAUCCUGGUGGCGAGUGGCGAACGGGUGAGUAAUAUAUCGGAACGUGCCCAGUAGUGGGGGAUAACUGCUCGAAAGAGCAGCUAAUACCGCAUACGACCUGAGGGUGAAAGGGGGGGAUCGCAAGACCUCUCGCUAUUGGAGCGGCCGAUAUCAGAUUAGCUAGUUGGUGGGGUAAAGGCCUACCAAGGCAACGAUCUGUAGUUGGUCUGAGAGGACGACCAGCCACACUGGGACUGAGACACGGCCCAGACUCCUACGGGAGGCAGCAGUGGGGAAUUUUGGACAAUGGGCGCAAGCCUGAUCCAGCAAUGCCGCGUGCAGGAAGAAGGCCUUCGGGUUGUAAACUGCUUUUGUCAGGGAAGAAAUCCUCUAGGUUAAUACCCUUGGGGGGAUGACGGUACCUGAAGAAUAAGCACCGGCUAACUACGUGCCAGCAGCCGCGGUAAGAC
rnacentral:rRNA from 1 species